GUAUUGGUGGUUCAAUGGUAGGAUUCUCACCUUCCAUGUGGGAGACCCAGGUUAGAUUCCCAGCCGAUGGU
rnacentral:tRNA from 1 species